rnacentral:rRNA from 1 species
GGACUGAGACACGGCCCAGACUCCUACGGGAGGCAGCAGUGGGGAAUUUUCCGCAAUGGGCGCAAGCCUGACGGAGCAACGCCGCGUGUGGGAUGAAGGCCUGUGGGUUGUAAACCACUUUUCUCAGGGACGAACACAAUGACGGUACCUGAGGAAUCAGCCUCGGCUAACUCUGUGCCAGCAGCCGCGGUAAGACAGAGGAGGCAAGCGUUAUCCGGAAUUAUUGGGCGUAAAGCGUCCGUAGGUGGUCUAGCAAGUCUGGGGUUAAAGCCCGGAGCCCAACUCCGGAUCGGCCUUGGAAACUGCCAGACUCGAGUAAGGUAGGGGUUGCGGGAAUUCCCGGUGUAGCGGUAAAAUGCGUAGAUAUCGGGAAGAACACCAGCGGCGAAAGCGCGCAACUGGGCCAUUACUGACACUGAGGGACGAAAGCUAGGGGAGCGAAUGGGAUUAGAUACCCCAGUAGUCCUAGCCGUAAACGAUGGUGACUAGAUGUGGCUCGUAUUGACCCGAGCCGUGUCGUAGCUAACGCGAUAAGUCACCCGCCUGGGGAGUACGCACGCAAGUGUGAAACUCAAAGGAAUUGACGGGGGCCCGCACAAGCGGUGGAGCAUGUGGAUUAAUUCGAUGCAACGCGAAGAACCUUACCAGGGCUUGACAUCCUGCGAACCCCGCUGAAAGGUGGGGGUGCCUUCGGGAGCGCAGAGACAGGUGGUGCAUGGCUGUCGUCAGCUCGUGUCGUGAGAUGUUGGGUUAAGUCCCGCAACGAGCGCAACCCGCGUCCUUAGUUGCCAGCAUUUAGUUGGGCACUCUGGGGAGACUGCCGGUGACAAGCCGGAGGAAGGUGCGGAUGACGUCAAGUCAGCAUGCCCCUUACGCCCUGGGCGUCACACGUGCUACAAUGGCCAGCACAAAGGGUAGCCAG